rnacentral:rRNA from 1 species
AUUGAACGCUGGCGGCAUGCCUUACACAUGCAAGUCGAACGGUAACAGGUCUUCGGAUGCUGACGAGUGGCGAACGGGUGAGUAAUAUAUCGGAACGUGCCCAGUCGUGGGGGAUAACGCAGCGAAAGCUGCGCUAAUACCGCAUACGAUCUAUGGAUGAAAGCGGGGGAUCGCAAGACCUCGCGCGAUUGGAGCGGCCGAUAUCAGAUUAGGUAGUUGGUGGGGUAAAGGCCCACCAAGCCAACGAUCUGUAGCUGGUCUGAGAGGACGACCAGCCACACUGGAACUGAGACACGGUCCAGACUCCUACGGGAGGCAGCAGUGGGGAAUUUUGGACAAUGGGCGCAAGCCUGAUCCAGCAAUGCCGCGUGCAGGAUGAAGGCCUUCGGGUUGUAAACUGCUUUUGUACGGAACGAAAAGGCUCUGGUUAAUACCUGGGGCUCAUGACGGUACCGUAAGAAUAAGCACCGGCUAACUACGUG